ACGCUCGACACCUAUGGGAGCAGCAGUGAGGAAUAUUGGUCAAUGGGCGCUAGCCUGAACCAGCCAAGUAGCGUGAAGGAUGAAGGCUCUAUGGGUCGUAAACUUCUUUUAUAUAAGAAUAAAGUGCAGUAUGUAUACUGUUUUGUAUGUAUUAUAUGAAUAAGGAUCGGCUAACUCCGUGCCUGCAGCCGCGGUAAUCUGAGCGGGCUGGCAAGGC
rnacentral:rRNA from 1 species